GAUGAAGAACGCAGCGAAAUGCGAUACGUAAUGUGAAUUGCAGAAUUCAGUGAAUCAUCGAAUCUUUGAACGCACAUUGCGCCCGCCAGCACUCUGGCGGGCAUGCCUGUUCGAGCGUCAUUUCAACCAUCAAGCCCUGCUUGUGUUGGGGUCCUGCGGCUGCCCGCAGGCCCUGAAAACCAGUGGCGGGCUCGCUAGUCACACCGAGCGCAGUAGCACAUCUCGCUCAGGGCGUGCGGCGGGCUCCAGCCGUUAAAGCACCCACCUUUCGCAAGGUUGACCUCGGAUCAGGUAGGAAUACCCGCUGAACUUAAGCAUAUCAAUAAGCGGAGGA
rnacentral:misc_RNA from 1 species